GACGAACGCUGGCGGCGUGCUUAACACAUGCAAGUCGAGCGAUGAAGUUCCUUCGGGAAUGGAUUAGCGGCGGACGGGUGAGUAACACGUGGGUAACCUGCCUCAUAGAGGGGAAUAGCCUUUCGAAAGGAAGAUUAAUACCGCAUAAGAUUGUAGCUUCGCAUGAAGCAGCAAUUAAAGGAGUAAUCCGCUAUGAGAUGGACCCGCGUCGCAUUAGCUAGUUGGUGAGGUAACGGCUCACCAAGGCGACGAUGCGUAGCCGACCUGAGAGGGUGAUCGGCCACAUUGGGACUGAGACACGGCCCAGACUCCUACGGGAGGCAGCAGUGGGGAAUAUUGCACAAUGGGGGAAACCCUGAUGCAGCAACGCCGCGUGAGUGAUGACGGUCUUCGGAUUGUAAAACUCUGUCUUCAGGGACGAUAAUGACGGUACCUGGAGAGGAAGCCACGGCUAACUACGUGCCAGCAGCCGCCGUAAGAC
rnacentral:rRNA from 1 species